AAACAUGAGAGUUUGAUUCUGGCUCAGGACGAACGCUGGCGGCGUGCUUAACACAUGCAAGUCGAGCGAAUGUAGCAAUACAUUAGCGGCGGACGGGUGAGUAACGCGUGAGCAAUCUGCCUCUAUCUACGGGAUAACACUUAGAAAUAGGUGCUAAUACCGUAUAAGACCACGUCUCGGCAUCGAGGAGGGGUAAAAGAUUUAUCGGAUAGAGAUGAGCUCGCGUCCCAUUAGCCAGUUGGUGAGGUAACGGCUCACCAAAGCGACGAUGGGUAGCCGACCUGAGAGGGUGAUCGGCCACAUUGGAACUGAGAAACGGUCCAAACUCCUACGGGAGGCAGCAGUGGGGAAUAUUGGGCAAUGGAGGCAACUCUGACCCAGCAACGCCGCGUGAAGGAUGAAGGUUUUCGGAUUGUAAACUUCUGUCGCGAGGGACGAAGAAUGACGGUACCUCGUAAGAAAGCCCCGGCUAACUACGUGCCAGCAGCCGCGGUAAUACGUAGGGGGCGAGCGUUGUCCGGAAUGACUGGGCGUAAAGGGAGUGUAGGCGGCAACACAAGUUAUAUGUGAAAUCCCGUGGCUUAACCAUGGAACUGCAUAUAAAACUGUGUAGCUGGAGUGCAGGAGAGGUAAGUGGAAUUCCUAGUGUAGCGGUGGAAUGCGUAGAUAUUAGGAGGAACACCAGAGGCGAAGGCGACUUACUGGACUGUAACUGACGCUGAGGCUCGAAAGCGUGGGGAGCAAACAGGAUUAGAUACCCUGGUAGUCCACGCCCUAAACGAUGGAUACUAGAGGAAGGGGGUAUAAACUCCUCCUGUCUCGAAGCAAACGCGAUAAGUAUCCCGCCUGGGGAGUACGGCCGCAAGGUUGAAACUCAAAGAAAUUGACGGGGACCCGCACAAGCAGCGGAGCAUGUGGUUUAAUUCGAAGCAACGCGAAGAACCUUACCAAGACUUGACAUCGUACGAUCGCCGUGGAAACACGGUUUUCCCUUCGGGGACGUGCAGACAGGUGGUGCAUGGUUGUCGUCAGCUCGUGUCGUGAGAUGUUCGGUUAAGUCCGGCAACGAGCGUAACCCUUAACGGCAGUUGGCAAUAUUAAGUUAGCAACUCUGCCGUGACUGCCGUGGACAACACGGAGGAAGGUGGGGAUGACGUCAAAUCAUCAUGCCCCUUACGUUUUGGGCUACACACGUGCUACAAUGGGUGCUACAAAGAGCAGCGAAGCCGUAAGGCGGAGCAAAUCUCACAAAAGCAUUCUCAGUUCGGAUUGAGGGCUGCAACCCGCCCUCAUGAAGUCGGAGUUGCUAGUAAUCCCGAAUCAGAAUGUCGGGGUGAAUGCGUUCCCGGGUCUUGUACACACCGCCCGUCACGCCAUGGGAGUCGGGGGGACCCGAAGUCGGUGGGCUAACCGCAAGGGGGCAGCCGCCUAAGGUAAAACCGAUGACUGGGGUGAAGUCGUAACAAGGUAGCCGUAUCGGAAGGUGCGGCUGGAUCACCUCCUUU
rnacentral:rRNA from 1 species